CAGUCGCCACGGUAACACGAAGGGGGCUAGCGUUGUUCGGAAUUACUGGGCGUAAAGCGCACGUAGGCGGAUAUUUAAGUCAGGGGUGAAAUCCCGCAGCUCAACUGCGGAACUGCCUUUGAUACUGGGUAUCUUGAGUAUGGAAGAGGUUAGUGGAAUUGCGAGUGUAGAGGUGAAAUUCGUAGAUAUUCGCAGGAACACCAGUGGCGAAGGCGGCUAACUGGUCCAUAACUGACGCUGAGGUGCGAAAGCGUGGGGAGCAAACAGGAUUAGAUACACCAGUAGUCCCUGUCUCUUAUAC
rnacentral:rRNA from 1 species